CACGGGAAGAUCAAUUUAUCUAAGACGAAGUAGGACCUAUUACACCAGGAAACAUGAUAUAUAAUUGCCAAAUAGCUACACUUCGGUUUAACGUGACACCACAUGGAAAAACGUCUUUGAUUUUUAUCUUGUUUCCGUUCUUAUUUUUCACUAUUUUGAGUCAAAUUCCCGCGGAUUUGCAAAAUGCGAGUCCACAAUUAUGUUAAAAAUGCUUGUCAGCGGAUGUUAAUCACGCAUUACUUAAUUUAACAAAGGCACACGCAC